rnacentral:rRNA from 1 species
UACGUAGGGGGCAAGCGUUGUCCGGAUUUAUUGGGCGUAAAGAGCGUGUAGGCGGCCAUACAGGUCCGUUGUGAAAACUGGAGGCUUAACCUCCAGACGUCGAUGGAAACCGUAUGGCUAGAGUCCGGAAGAGGAGAGUGGAAUUCCUGGUGUAGCGGUGAAAUGCGCAGAUAUCAGGAAGAACACCCGUGGCGAAGGCGGCUCACUGGCCCGUAACUGACGCUGAGGCACGAAAGCGUGGGGAGCAAACAGG